GAUGAACGCUGGCGGCGUGCUUAACACAUGCAAGUCGAACGGUGAAAGAGAGCUUGCUCUCUGGAUCAGUGGCGAACGGGUGAGUAACACGUGAGCAAUCUGCCCCUGACUCUGGGAUAAGCGCUGGAAACGGCGUCUAAUACCGGAUACGAGCUGCGAAGGCAUCUUCAGCAGCUGGAAAGAACUUCGGUCAGGGAUGAGCUCGCGGCCUAUCAGCUAGUUGGUGAGGUAACGGCUCACCAAGGCGUCGACGGGUAGCCGGCCUGAGAGGGUGACCGGCCACACUGGGACUGAGACACGGCCCAGACUCCUACGGGAGGCAGCAGUGGGGAAUAUUGCACAAUGGGCGAAAGCCUGAUGCAGCAACGCCGCGUGAGGGACGACGGCCUUCGGGUUGUAAACCUCUUUUAGCGGGGAAGAAGCGAAAGUGACGGUACCUGCAGAAAAAGCACCGGCUAACUACGUG
rnacentral:rRNA from 1 species